GCCUUCGUGGUGUAGUGGUCAGCACGCUCGACGUGUAUUCGAGAGGUCCGUGGUUCGAGUCCCGUCGACAGCA
rnacentral:tRNA from 1 species